ACAUAUCAGAUUUUCCCCAACCCUAGAGGCGUUUUUCCACCAUCUCCAAAAGAGAACCCUUCCCCAUUUUUAGAAACCAGCGACUCUCCCUCCGUCACUCAGAUAAAAAACAGAGAAAAACUCUUCUCCCGUACGAAAAACUUUGCCACCCAAUUCAUCUUCUCCAAAAAUCGGACAAACCUUACUCUUUCUCUUCUAAAAAUCAGUCGAUACACACGCAGCUAAAGGCUCGCACACGAGAAGCACUCAGCUUAGAGCUAGAAACAAAAAACUUUCAAAAAUUCAAAAACUCAAAAAAAAAAAGAUCUGAAAACAAGCUUUGGGGAACGAUUUUUUUUUUUUGGUUUUAAAGGUUGCCGAAGGUUGUUGAAUUUGUUGCUUCUACGUUUUGCUGAGUUCCAUUUGGGUUGGCUUCUGCUCUUUAGUUGGUUUGUUCAAGUUUUUCUUUAUUUGCCCAGGUUAUACCUCGAGACACAGGGUUCGAGACGACCAAAAGAAGAAGUUUCAAUCAAGAAUAAUUAAAAAAAAA